rnacentral:rRNA from 1 species
AACGAACGCUGGCGGCAUGCCUAACACAUGCAAGUCGAACGAGACCUCCGGGUCCAGUGGCGCACGGGUGUGUAACGCGUGGGAACCUGCACUUAGGUUCGGAAUAACUCCCCGAAAGGGGUGCUAACACCGGAUAAUGUCUUCGGACCAAAGAUUUAUCGCCCUUGGAUGGGCCCGAGUUGGAUUAGCUGGUUGGUAGGGUAAAAGCCUACCAAGGCGACGAUCCAUAGCUGGUCUGAGAGGAUGGUCAGCCACACUGGGACUGAGACACGGCCCAGACUCCUCCGGGAGGCGGCAGUGGGGGAUAUUGGACAAUGGGCGGAAGCCUGAUCCAGCACUGCCGCGUGAGUGAUGAAGGCCUUAGGGUUGUAAAGCUCUUUUACCCAGGAUGGUAAUGACGGUACCGGGAGAAUAAGCUCCGGCUAACUCCGUG